UACGGAGGGGGCUAGCGUUGUUCGGAAUUACUGGGCGUAAAGCGCACGUAGGCGGCCUUGUAAGUUAGAGGUGAAAGCCCGGGGCUCAACCCCGGAACUGCCUUUAAGACUGCAUCGCUUGAAUCCAGGAGAGGUGAGUGGAAUUCCGAGUGUAGAGGUGAAAUUCGUAGAUAUUCGGAAGAACACCAGUGGCGAAGGCGGCUCACUGGCCUGGUAUUGACGCUGAGGUGCGAAAGCGUGGGGAGCAAACAGG
rnacentral:rRNA from 1 species